rnacentral:tRNA from 1 species
GGGGAUUUAGCUCAGUGGUGCAGCACCUGCCUGGCAAGCAUGAGGUUCUGAGUUUGAAUCCCAGUGCCCCCA